rnacentral:rRNA from 1 species
CUGGCUCAGGACGAACGCUGGCGGCGUGCCUAAUACAUGCAAGUCGAGCGAACAGAGAAGGAGCUUGCUCCUUCGACGUUAGCGGCGGACGGGUGAGUAACACGUGGGCAACCUACCUUAUAGUUUGGGAUAACUCCGGGAAACCGGGGCUAAUACCGAAUAAUCUGUUUCACCUCAUGGUGAAACACUGAAA